rnacentral:misc_RNA from 1 species
AAAAUGAAGAAGGAUUACAAAUUGAUGAAUUAAUCACAAGUUCAUCAUCCAGUUCAGAUUCUGAAACAGAAAAUGAACUGUUUACAAAACCAAAAUUGAAAAUCAAUGUUCUUUCAAAAGACCAGAAGUUACUCUUAGAAAUCCUUACACAGGUUGAAGAUUCUCAACUACAAAAGGAAUUUUUAGGAAAACUUUUAAAAACCUUUGAAGAACAACCAAUACAAAAACCUUCUAUUCUGCCCUCUGUUGCAAGAAACACAUAUGACCUUACGUCCAUGUUGGGUAGAAAGAAGACUUCAAAACAAUCAACUGUUUCAGUCCAAAGCC